ACUAUUUAAGGAGGACAUUUUGUUUUGUCAAUCAAUUUCACAGUUCUCUUCGUUAUAAAACAACAGAAUUGUAGAAAAUCCUGGAGCAAAUGGCUGUGCUACUAGUAGUAAUGCAUGACAGAUUUAAAGAUAAUUAGCUUAUUUCUGUUACAAAUUUUAUUCCUAAAGAAUGACUCCAGGAUGGCUAAUUUAAAAUCUCUUUUGCUACUGACAGUUGCCUUAAAGAAAAGAUGUAGAAUAAUAGAGGAAGACUCAAUAGGCAAUGAGAAAAGCAGAGCAAAAGGUGGAGCAAUGAAGGCCUCAAAUACUGAUAAAAGCAAAAUGGAAAUGCAAAAUGGAAAGACACCACAGGGAAGGAAUGUCUCAUAGUUCAUUUCUCAUUUUUAAAAGAAAAAUAUUUUUCUAAUAAAAUAAAGUAUUCCUUUUUUUCCAAGGUGGGA
rnacentral:lncRNA from 1 species